rnacentral:rRNA from 1 species
UAGUCCACGCCGUAAACUAUGAUUACUCGUUUUCAGCGAUAUACUGUUGGAGACUAAGCGAAAGUGAUAAGUAAUCCACCUGGGGAGUACGAUCGCAAGGUUGAAACUCAAAGGAAUUGACGGGGGCCCGCACAAGCGGUGGAGCAUGUGGUUUAAUUCGAUGAUACGCGAGGAACCUUACCAGGGCUUAAAUGUAAGUUGCAUGAUUUAGAGAUAGAUCUUUCUUCGGACUACUUACAAGGUGCUGCAUGGUUGUCGUCAGCUCGUGCCGUGAGGUGUCAGGUUAAGUCCUAUAACGAGCGCAACCCCUACCGUUAGUUGCCAGCAUGUUAUGAUGGGGACUCUAGCGGGACUGCCGGUGCAAACCGAGAGGAAGGUGGGGAUGACGUCAAAUCAUCACGGCCCUUACGUUCUGGGCUACACACGUGCUACAAUGGUUAGGACAAAGAGUCGCCAACUUGCAAAAGUGAGCUAAUCUCGUAAACCUAAUCUCAGUUCGGAUCGCAGG